CCCUUAGAUGUUCUGGGCUGCACGCGCGCUACACUGAAGCUAUCAACACGUUUUCCCUCCCUGAGAAGGGCGGGUAACCUUUUGAAUCAGCUUCGUGGUAGGGAUCGGGGCUUGCAAUUGUUCCCCGUGAACCAGGAAUUCCUAGUAGACGCGAGUCAUAAGCUCGCAUCGAUUAAGUCCCUGCCCUUAGUACACACCGCCCGUCGCUACUACCGAUUGAACGUUUUAGUGAGGCAUUUGGACCGACGCAUCUCAGUUUAACCGCUGGUUUGUGUUGGAAAGACUUCCAAACUUGAGCGUUUAGAGGAAGUAAAAGUCGUAACA
rnacentral:rRNA from 1 species